CGGGGCGGGAUGGCCAGCAAGUUUCUAUUCUCUCCCCGUUGGCCAUCCCAGCCGCCUGUCGCACAGUUGUGAGCACUGAUUGGACAGCGCCGCCAUUUGAUCGCGUUUAUUCGCCAUUUUGUUGGUCUUGGAGUAAAAGGAGCUUCCGGUGGGACCCACGCGGCCGCUGAGGGGCACAGGACUCGCCAUGGUGGUGCCUAGGCCAUCAGGAGGAUGAUGAAGCCGGUGAGGAAGGCAAAUGGCUCCUCAUUCUUCUCAUCUUCCUCUUCUUUCACCUCUUUGUGGGGGUCGUGCUGCUCUCCACCUCCCCCCCUAGCUGCCCCAAAGCCCCUAAACGCCAUGAAGGAGGCAGUGGUGGCAGUGGUGAGGAAGACUCUGGUGAGGGCGGCAGCAAUGCUGAAGGCUCUGUCACCCCCCUCCCUUCGUCCAGCCCCUACCAAGGCCCUUCUCUCCCCAAAGACCCUCCCCCGAGCUGCAAAACCACCACCUUCAAAUCCCAAGUGCCCCAAAAACACCCAUGAUGGCUGCUGAAACCAGCACUGAAAUCAGCACCGGCACCAGUGGCAGCGGCUGUUACAGCACUGACACGGUGAGUGACCACUGAUAAGGACAGAAACUAAUGAUUAGCAAGGAGGCCCGGAAUCUCCCAGAAAAGGACAAGUUCUUGAUAAGGACAGAAACUUGUCUCAAGAACCAGCUUAAACCGACCUUGCAGUCUGGACAAGAACCCAGAGUAACUGGGUCUGCACAAAAACAAGGGGUUACUAGUGGUGAUGAAGAGGAAUUGUUAGCCUUCAUCCCCACGACCCCCUGCAGCCACCACCAGGAGGCACUGCGCAAGUGCAGUUGGGAAAGAUUUAUUGAAAUGACUCUUUUAGGCUAAUUUUAAUACGAAGUCGGGAAUGGUCAUGCAUAUAUAUAGGCAUAUUGGGAAACCUCAUGUAUAUAUAGUGCUUUACUGUAUAAAUCCAAGACAAGCUACUAUGCUGACGGGCAUGACUUUGGUGGAACUAACCCCCAUGCUGCCCACUGCUGAAUAAACAUACCUACUUUACAAUCUUA